UUGCGGGGGGCUCCGGGGUGGGGGCGGGAAGAGGCCGUGCCGGCCGCCGGGAAGGAGGGGGAUCUCUUUCCCCGCCUGGAGAUGGUGGUGCUAUUCCUGCCCUUGGCCUUCAUCUGGAUGGUGUCGGGGGUCCUGGCGCAGCUUCACUACACCGUGCAGGAGGAGCAGGAGCAUGGCGCUUUCGUGGGCAACAUCGCCGAGGACCUGGGCUUGGACAUCACCAAACUUUCCGCGCGGCGCUUCCAGACGGUGCCCAACUCGCGCAGCCCGUACCUGGACCUCAACCUGGAGACCGGGGUGCUGUACGUGAGCGAGAAGAUCGACCGCGAGCAGAUCUGCCGGCAGAGCCCCUCCUGCCAGCUCCACCUGGAGGUCUUCCUGGAGAACCCGCUGGAGCUCUUCCGCGUGGAGGUGGAGGUGCUGGACCUCAACGACAACCCGCCCGCCUUCCCGGAGCCCGACCUGACGGUGGAGAUCUCCGAGAGCGCCACGCCGGGCACGCGCUUCCCGCUGGAGAGCGCCUUCGACCCCGACGUGGGCACCAACGCGCUCCGCACCUACGAGAUCACCCCCAACGCCUUCUUCUCGCUCGACGUGCAGACGCAGCCCGACGGCAACCGCUUCGCCGAGCUGGUGCUCUCCAAGCCGCUGGACCGCGAGCAGCAGGCGCUGCACCGCUACGUGCUGACGGCGGUGGACGGCGGGCAGCCCGCGCAGCGCACCGGGACCGCGCUGCUCACCGUCCGCGUCCUCGACUCCAACGACAACGUGCCGGCCUUCGAGCAGCCCGUCUACACGGUGGCGCUGCCCGAGAACUCCCCGCCGGGCACGCUGGUGCUGCAGCUCAACGCCAGCGACCCGGACGAGGGCCAGAACGGCGAGAUCAUCUACUCCUUCAGCAGCCACAUCUCGGCCCGCGCCCGCGAGCUCUUCGGCAUCUCCCCGCGGACGGGCCGGCUGGAGGUGAGCGGCGAGCUGGACUACGAGGAGAGCGCCGUCUACCAGGUGUACGUGCAGGCCAAGGACCUGGGCCCCAACGCCGUCCCGGCCCACUGCAAGGUGCUGGUGCGCGUCCUGGACGCCAACGACAACGCGCCCGAGAUCAGCUUCUCCACCGUCAAGGAGGCCGUCAGCGAGGCGGCGGCGCCGGGCACCGUGGUGGCGCUCUUCAGCGUCUCGGACCGCGACUCCGAGGAGAACGGGCAGGUGCAGUGCGAGCUGCUCCAAGGGGACGCCCCGUUCCGGCUCAAGAGCUCCUUCAAGAACUACUACACCAUCGUCACCGAGGCGCCGCUGGACCGCGAGCAGCCCGGCGGGGAGGCCUACACGCUGACGGUGGUGGCGCGCGACAUGGGCCGCCCCUCGCUCAGCGCCAGCAAGUCCAUCCAGGUGCGCGUCAGCGACGUCAACGACAAUGCGCCCCGCUUCUCGCAGCCCCUCUACCAGGUCUAUGUGAGCGAGAACAACGUGCCCGGCGCCUACAUCUACGCCGUCAGCGCCGCCGACCGCGACCAGGGCGCCAACGCGCAGCUGGCCUACGCCAUCCUGGAGAGCCAGAUCCAGGGCAUGUCGGUCUUCACCUAUGUCUCCAUCAACGCCGAGAACGGCUUCCUCUACGCGCUCCGCUCCUUCGACUACGAGCAGCUCAAGGAGUUCAGCUUCCAGGUGGAGGCCCGGGACGCCCCGCGACGGCGAGGCGAGGAAAAGCCGCCGGGCGCGGAGGAGGAGCAGGAGGAGGAGGAGGAGGAGGCCGCGCUCUCCGGCAACGCCACAGUCCACAUCGUGGUGGUGGACCAGAACGACAACGCCCCCGCCAUCGUCAGCCCGCUGCCCGGCCGCAACGGCACCCCGGCCAGGGAGGUCCUGCCCCGCGGCGCCGAGCCGGGCUAUUUGGUGACUCGCGUGGCCGCCGUGGACGCGGACGACGGCGAGAACGCGCGCCUGACCUACAGCAUCGCACGGGGCAACGAGGCCAGCCUCUUCCGCAUGGACUGGCGCACCGGGGAGCUGCGCACCGCCCGCAAAGUGCCCGCCAAGCGCGACCCGCAGCGCCCCUACGAGCUCGUCAUUGAGGUCCGCGACCACGGGCAGCCGCCGCUCUCCUCCACCGCGGCGCUCCACGUGGUCUUGGUGGACGGCGCCGUGGAGCGGCAGGGGGCGGGCGGCGGCGGGAGCGGGGUCGGAGUCCCGGGCCCCGGGGCCUCCGGAGCGGGAGGAGCGGGCCCCGGGGGAGAGCACCGGCCCAGCCGCGCCGGGGGCGCCUCCGCGGGCGAAAGCUCGCUGGACCUCACGCUCAUCCUCAUCAUCGCCCUGGGCUCCGUCUCCUUCAUCUUCCUGCUCGCCAUGAUCGUCCUGGCCGUGCGCUGCCAGAAGGAGAAGAAGCUCAACAUCUACACCUGCCUGGCCAGCGACUGCUGCCUCGCCUGCUGCUGCUGCUGCCCCUGCUGCAGCCGCCAGGCCCGCGCCCGCAAGAAGAAGCUCAGCAAGUCCGACAUCAUGCUGGUGCAGAGCUCCAACGUGCCCAGCAACCCGGUGCAGGGCGUCCCCGCCGAGGAGCCGGCCGGCUUCGGGUCCCACCACCACAACCAGAACUACUGCUAUCAGGUCUGCCUCACGCCCGAGUCGGCCAAGACCGACCUGAUGUUCCUCAAGCCCUGCAGCCCCUCCCGGAGCACCGACGCCGAGCACAACCCCUGCGGGGCCAUCGUCACCGGCUACGCUGACCAGCAGCCCGACAUCAUCUCCAACGGCAGCAUCUUGUCCAGCGAGACUAAACACCAGCGUGCUGAGCUCAGUUAUCUAGUUGAUAGACCACGGCGAGUAAACAGUUCUGCAUUCCAGGAAGCAGACAUAGUAAGCUCUAAGGACAGUGGUCAUGGAGACAGCGAGCAAGGAGACAGUGAUCAUGACGCCACUAAUCGAGGUCAAUCCUCUGGCAUGGAUCUCUUCUCUAAUUGCACGGAGGAAUGUAAAGCUUUGGGCCACUCGGAUCGGUGCUGGAUGCCCUCUUUUGUCCCUUCCGAUGGACGCCAGGCUGCGGAUUAUCGCAGUAAUCUUCAUGUACCCGGUAUGGACUCUGUUCCAGACACUGAAGUGUUUGAAACACCAGAAGCCCAGCCAGGGGCAGAGAGGUCCUUCUCCACCUUUGGCAAAGAGAAGGCCCUUCACGGCACUUUGGAGAGGAAGGAACUGGAUGGACUGCUGUCUAAUACACGAGCGCCUUACAAACCACCAUAUUUGAGUAAGUACUGUUCCAAAGGCUGCUAAAGUGUAUUCCGUUGAUGGGAAUCGAGCUCCAUUCCCCAGUGUGCUUGCUAGGAGUAGAGAAGUAUGCCAGAGGCAAUAGGGGGGAAACCCUGAAUCCCUUUGGAUUGAGAAUCACUGAAGAGAGCAAUGUUGAUUUUUUUUUUUAAAAAAAAAACAAACAAACACCUAUGGCGUUUUAAAUUUAUCACUUCUAGGACCUUGUUGAAGAUGGAUCUGUAAAAACGAAAUGCCUGUGCUGAUUUUUCCUGGAACUGAUGCCUUAGUGAUUUUUUUCCAAGUAAAUAAUUAGCAAGACAAGUAUUUCUUCAUAUUUGUAGCUAUCUGUGGUGCCUCUUGAUUGAAACUUCUUGCUACACCAAACUGUUUUAUACCACGGAUGGUUUGUUCCCAUUGAACAAGGCUUGGAGAUCAUCCUAUGCCUUGCCAUUUGUGGAUCUCAAAGUGGAUUAUAAAAGAAUAGUGAUUUUAAGACCUGCAGAUCCUCUGUGAGAUAGCACGGAAAAGGAUAUGCUAGUCAAUUCUACGGGACUUACCUGAAGCAGCAUGAUUUGCACAAAAGUCGACCAACAAAAGCAUCAACUUUUCAACUUCAUUAUCUUGGCCAUCUGUGUUAACAGAAAGAAUUACUGUGCUGUUGGAGACAUCCUGGCCAAUAAUAGGACCUAACUGCUCUCAGCAGGCCUGAGAAAUGAGUUGAAAUGUAUGGAACUGUAGAAACUUCAAGGGGCAACUGAUUUUUUGCCUCUCUGAUCAGUGUGUGCCUGUUUACAGCACUAUAUAGCUCUCUCUUUCUGUUUCUCUCUCCAAAAUGUCACUGAGCCCUUUAGAUGUUUAUAUUCGCCACAAGAAGCCAAUCGUACAGAUUUUAAAAAUGGAAACAUGCAUUAUAAAUGCAAUAUCACUGUUUUAAACUUGACUGUUUUAUAUUAUUUUUGUGUGAUCAAGUGUCUCCCAAACUAUUCCAACUUUACAAAAGAAAUUGUGAAUCAUGUUCUUUUCACCUGUGGGUCAUGAAAAUGUUGUUAAUCUGCAGGCCCACAAAAUAUCAAAGACAUUCUGUAGUUUAUACACCGUGUUGCAAAGUGUUUACUGUACUAUUUCAAAGCUUCUAAAUAAAUAUAAAAUAUAUAUUAUAUUACAUAUAAUUUUCCGGGAAAUGUGGUACCAUUUAGUUGAUUUUUAAAUGAAUUCAUACAGUGCGCACCAUACACUAAAGUGAGAAGGUAAUUCAGGGUCCUUAAAUUAUCCUUGCCUAAAAAUAAAAGAAAUCUUUAAUAAUACUUCCCCCGUUUUUGUACUUUGGUCAAUCCUGUUUGUCCUUGUUAAAAAAAAGAAAAGAAAAGAAAAAUGAGCUGUAAGCAACAACAUUUUUUUCUGAAAGUUGUACUGAAUUUUCAAUGCCAAAGAUACAGCUGUCAAUAAUUAUGAAAUUUAGCACUGACUAUGUACUAUCAAAGUAUAUAUAUUUCAACCACCACCAUUUUGAUUCUAUUUCUAUGGUUUUUAAUUUGGAGUCAAGAAAUCUUUUUAUAAAGGCUCUAUAAACUCACAUGUAUAUGUUGUUAAAAAGUACACUUGGUGUCUGUGCAUUUUGCAAUGUAUAUGAUGUAAGUGAGGAUAACUAUUUUAAGGAAAUCUCCCUACACACACACACACCUGACUUAUAUCAUUUUGUGACAUAGUUUUAUACCAACGUAUCUUUCCAUGCUGGUUCAGAAAUAUUACUGGAGAAAGGCUCAUCAUAGCUGCAUCCUUUUAUUUGAAUUUAUCCCUUCAAUAUAAAAGCAAUUUGAAAUUAGAAGUAGCCUAUAUAUCUUUUCACUGGUAACCAGGUUAAUCCCGCAUGUGUUGUUUUAUAGUAAUUUUGUGUUUUGGAGUAUCUCAGAAAGAUAUUUUUAUUAGAAAAAAUAAAUUGACAAAAUCUGAAAAUGUUGCGAAGUAAAGGUCACCUUUACUUUCAUGUUCUCUAAUUAUAAGUAUCAUUGAGGGAAAGUGAAAUGUAGUAAGAAUAAUUUCUUCUGUCCUUAUUUACUCCCAUACACUGCUGUGUUUUGUCAUGACGACUGUUUUCAAAAGAAAUGAUAAAAUCAUGUCUGAUAACAACAUUUACUUUAGUUGGAGAUAAUUAGUGGACACACUUCCCUUUUGUAUCAGUUGAAAAGAAUUGAUUUUGUUUUGGACACUUUGGAGUCAAACGCAAGGAGCAUCAAAGUGCAUUUUUACACUGAAUAUUGCUCACAGGGUAUCGCAUGACUCAGUGUAAUUCAGAAUGGGAAAAAUGUUCCAUAAGCUUCUUAAAAAGUGAAAAUACAGUUGAUGUAGGACUCCAUGUCUGUGGGAAAGGAUACAUUAAAAUCCCAUAUGUGCAGGAUUCCCUAGUAACCUCAAUAGAGUGGAGAGUUCUUUGUAUGCAUAUCUUUGGACUUUCACAUGUAUGCAUAUGGAGAUUAUGUAUCCAGUGGGGCCAUGAAUCCAGUCCAAAUCUUCGUUCCCCCUUGAAAAUAGCUAUCCAGGGUGCUGAAUCCUAUAUCCUAAACAGGUUCAACAUUAUGAAUAGUUCUGUUAAGUUUGUUUGAACCAAACUUCUGGCAGAUUCACAGCUCUCCUAAAUACAUUCAGCAUUGUGAAUCAAUUUCUUAAAAUUUGUUUGAACUAAAACUUCUGGCAGAUUCACAGUUUUGCAGCUUUCAGAGCAUCCAACUUCCAGUGUAUGCAUCACAGCCCUAAUGCUUAGUAUAUGUUCCAGAUCAGACUAACUCUAGAAUAAAAAGUAGAGUUUACUCUUUCAAUACUUUUCUCCCAAAUACCCACUGAUUGACUGGGAAUUUUGUGUGUAUAUUUCAUCAAGAGUUAAGUUGUGUGUGUGUGUCUGUGUGAUGUUACUUACCAAGGUUUAAUCAGGAAAAGGAAAUAAUUUGUCAGUGAUUAUUUCUAAACUAUUUUAAAAUUAACAGCUAUUUCUUGGGAUCCUUUUAAAAAUGUGUAUGAUAUAUAUAAAUCAUAGGAAAAAGCACAGAAAAAUAUUCAUCAAUUGGAGCAAACACAGCCGUAAAGUCUUCUUUAGCUUUAGGUAACAGGAGUAUUAGUCACCUCUAUGCCUUGUUAGUUUCACAGGAGGAGGGGGGGAAAUUGGCUAUUUUAGUAAUGAAAUGUGUAGAUGAUAUAUCAUUGGGUAAAGUCUGUCAAGUUGUUGCUGCGUUUAAAAGAGGAAACUGAAUGCUCAUUUGGGAAAUUGUUUUGCUUUAUUUUUACAACCUCUAUAUACAGAGGUGAAUAUUGUAACUUAAGGUUGUUUCUUGUCCUGUUGAGAAGAGGGGAUCACAUUUUGUUCUUUUAUAGACUAUUAAAGUGUCUUUAUCUACUGAAAAUCUCCCUCACAUUUUGCAUGCACUUUUUGGAGAAAAAUAUUUAUGAUAAGUAAGAUUUUAACCUGUCUCUAGUGCAUUUAUUUCAUUCCUUUCUCUGUACAAUGGACUAGGAGAAAUAGGCCUGUAUGUGUAUUCAUUUCAUGCUUUAGCCAUUCCUUCUUCUAUUUAUGUAUGUGAGCAGUACAAGUGAGGUCAGUGGGACCCUUACAUGUGGAAACAAGAUUGACCUGUCAUCAUUCUUUUUCAUUACUACAAGGGGAAACCAUUCACAAUCUGUUUGGUUCUCUCCUAUUUGCUAGUGGAAAGAAAAGCUAACAAUUGUCUUUUAAUGUGAUAAAAUUACUGGAAAGUGACUUGUGGCAUCAAUAUUACCAUCAUGAAUAUUUCAUUUGAAUUUUUUCCCUCUACAAUUUCUGGCAUUUGCUGGCUGGAAAAUAUUAUUUUAAAACCUAGAUUUUAAUCUGAUAGAACAUGAUGCAAAUGAAAUUAUUCACCAAAUGAAAUGUAUAUGGUAAAAAAAAAUCACAAUCAAAUAACCAGGUCAAAACAAAAACAUAUGAACCAUGCCUUCUUUUUUACUGUUCAAGACAUCAAGUAUACACCUACAGCUACUACACAGGCAAAAAUUAGUCCAAAGUAAAUUAAUUGUUGAGUUCAUUCUCAAUUCAUGAAUUGUCAGGAUAAAGGAAAACAAAAUAUUCUCAUUUACUUGUGGUAACCAUUUAGAACAGAAUUAGGUUUAUUCCAAGAUUGUUAAUUCCUUAUAUUACAACUGAAACCAUUUAAGGAAGCUUUCACAUAGCUUACAAAAUUAUAUGAAAAAAUUCUGAUUGACAUUUAAAAGCCCCAGGUAAAACCAUGGCAGUCUUGAUAUCAGGCAGCAUCUACUUAAAAGAAAACAAUGUUGUACAUAUUUCUUAAUGCCAUAUGUUUCCACACAAAUUGAAAUUUGGUAGGAUAACUUUUAGAAUUGGUAGUUUGCAUUUAACAUGUAUUUUUAAAAUGAUUUUCAUGUACAUAUUAGAUAAUUCAAGCACAUUGCUUUGAAUUUUCACCACAUUUGUAUACAUGCAUAACAAAAUCAGGCAAUAUAAGUUGUUUUCUUUUUAAAGAAGCUAAAGAUGUGUGUGUGUGUGUGUGUGUGUGUGUGUGUGUGUGUGAAUGGUUUUUUUUUAAAGUUCCUUAGAGGUAAACAAUAAAAUAAUUACUUUAUUUCUUUUCUGGGUUAUAUUCAUAAAGAUAAAACCACAUUUCUCAGUUUUGCAACCAUAUAUACAACCAGAAAUGUAUUAUCGCAAUCAGGUCACAAUAUGAGCAAUGCAUGUGGUACAAAUUCUGCUCUCUUUUACUCAGCUGAGUAAGCUUUCCAAAGUACUUAAUCAUGCAAAAAUAAACACUUUCUUUGUCUCCAGCUAUGAAUGAUGGAGAAGCCACAAUUUUGACAGUUACUGGUUUAUCUCAUUCUUGCCAGCAUAGUUAAAUAGUAACUAUUUUUGCUUGCUUCAUCAGUAGGGACACUAAAAUAAAUGCACUAUCACAUGUAAUGGAGCUGUCUGAUAUCAAGUUGGAUAUCCAACUAAGAUGAGAACUGACUGACAAAAGUGGCUGUCUAGAUUUUAUGAAGUUCCAGCUUUGACAGUUAAAUUGGUUCAACUGAUUCUUGCUAUUUUUGCUUGCUUCAUCAGUUUGAAUGCUAAGAAAACUCACUAUCAUGAGCUGGAGAACUGCAAAGUUAGAUCUUUACUCCAAGCAGAUUGAGACAAAAGUAACUGGCUAGAUUUUAUGGAAGAGUCUUUACUAUUCCAACGCAGAGAAGCCAGAAACUGAACCAGACAUAAGUAUGUAUGUGUGCCCGAAGUUCCUAAAUGGAAAGGGACAUGCAUGCACUGCCACUCCUAUUAAAGUACAAAAGAAGUAUGCACAAGGAAUUGUUUUUAUUUAAUCAAAACAACCAGAAGAAUUUGGGGUUGGUUGCAGAGAUAGGUUCUAUAAUAAACUAAAAUAAAUGGCUUCCGAGCACAAUUCUUUGUUGAGCGUUAUUCUCAUCUCCCCAGCCAUGUAACUGCUUAAAUGACUGUGGCUGCAAUAUUAAUCUCCACAAUUGCAUCUGAAGUAGAUUUAAAUCCAUGGCAUUUCAUGCUAAAAUAAAUCAGUUGGCCUUAAAUGUGAUUAGAUUCUGCAGCCUAUUAGACUAUCCCCAUUAAUUUCAUUGUGCUUUGGUCAAGAGCUCUCCCACUUCUUAGUAUGCAUUUUACAAUCCUGAAAGUCAUAACUAAUGUCUAAACAUAAGUAUUUACACUUGCACCAGAAAGUAUUGCCAGCAGAAGAUUAAAAGAAGAAGGAAAUUGUUUAAUCUGUUUGCCCAAUGUAAACAGCCCAAAAAAGACCUCAAAGAUCCCAUACAAGUAAGGCUGGGAAAUCUCUUCAAGACCUCUUCCAUCUUAUUUUUCUUCUUUACUAAUUUGGAAUUAAGUAUUGGUAUAAAACUGAUAUACUCAACUAUAGAUACUGGCUUUGUCCCACAGACACAGUUCAGAUCCAUUGCUGGGUAUCUGUGCCUUUGUAGAUACUAUUCUGGGUCAUAGGCGAGAACAAAUUUGGACAGCUUUCAUGAACUGAAAUUGUGUGAGAAUUUGUCAAAUAAAGUUCAAUCAUUAGACUUGAGCUGACUAGAAAAACAAAGCAAAGUUCUGUGUUUAUAGUUUUCUCAAAAGAAAAUACAUUCAGUUCAAAGCAUCCCAUGCUGGGAAGGGAAAUACAUUUUAUCUUAACAAAUUGGGAUGUGUGUGCCUUUUUCUUUCUUUUCUUUUCUUUUUAACCCCAAAGCAUUUAACUGUGUGAAACUUAAAUAGUCAUUUCGUGCUUACUCCAUCACAUUUAUAGGAAGCAGUUUCAUAACACUCUUACCAUUAAAUGUUGUUUUCAGAUUCAUUAAUAGACCUUCAGUAAAGCCAGUCUUUUAAAAAGAUAUUUGUAAAAUACUAAUCAAGAAAUCCUGAUCCAUCCUAUAAAAUAGUUUCAGAAAUACCAAUUUUAAUGAAAUUGUCUUGACAUUCCAAUUUAAACUCUAAAUCUAAUUGCUAAUCCUGACUACAGUAGUCCCAGUAAAGCAAUAUAUUUAUAUAUAUCUUGAUUUUAUUAUCCUUUGAGUCAGUGGGUCUUCUCAGGUUGGGUCUAACAACUGUAUUUUGACCUAUAGUUUCAUGCUACCUAUGUUGGCUACCAGGUAUGCUUUGUCCAUGAAAGACACCGAAUAACAAUGAUGGCUACAUGGUCAACCAGAUUUCUCCCACAGUCAUGUAUGUGAAAGGGGUGUGUAUGAAUUGUGGAACUAAGGAGUGAUUUUCACUAUGUUUUUCUUUUUUGUGUGAAUUAAAGUUUUUGCAUCCUCCAUAAUGAGGAGGAGGAUCAGCUGCAAAAUACUGAAAUGUAGUAGAAUAUGACAAUAAUCCUGCACCUGAAGCCAAAGGGAAGGCAAUAUGGUGUGCCAAAUGCAAUGCCUCACAUUAUCUCCCCCGCCUUCCCCUGCUCGAUAAAAGCCUUGUCUGAAAGUAUUGCAGUGUGAGAGCACAUCUUUCAAUCAGUUAUUGCUUAUAUAUGAGGAUUUUUCUCAGGCUGUGAAAGAUAGAGGGUUGAUUGAGGUCAUCCAGUACCUUGCAGGUGGAAUAGACAUUUCAUUUCAAAUUCUUCAUGUCCAGAUCCACUAUGCUGCAUUAUUUUUAGUGCUUGUGGUAUGCAGUAAUGAAUUACUUUCUAAGGACUAUAGACAAGUUCUUUAAAAUCCCAGUAUGUGCUCUCUAUACAUAAACUACUUUAAACACUGUAAGCAUACUAAACUACUUUCAAUGUUUUUACAUACUUUAAUAUAGAAAAUGUCUUUGUUAUCCUAUGUAGGAUUUUUAUAUUAAGAAUGUUUUCUACACAGGUUUUUCUUCUGUGUCAUUAAACAAUUCUAGUAGAGUAUGAAGACAGACUGAUAGUUGUACUGCAUAUACCGGUCAAUGUUAUUACAUGUAAAACAAAUAUCCAUCCACAUUAGAAAAUGGAACUCCUCUACGUGUUUUUUUUUUCUAAUUUAACCACCUAUUUAUUUAUUUAUUUAUUUUAUUGCAAAAGUAACAUCUGUGCAAAAAAUAUAGCAGGUUCAAAUCAGUCAAAGGUUUUUACAAUGAUAGUAAAUAAGAAAUUGUGGUCUAUUGACCAUUAUAUCAGAACAAUGUCACUAAAUAAUGACAUUAACCUGACAUAGGAAUACAUUCCCCAAUUUUCCAGACAAAUAACACAAAUGAACACAUUGGGAUCUAGGUGUAAAUUGAAUUUCUAUUUCCAAAUAUCAGUAUGAAAUUUCAGUUUGCAAUUCAGAUUCUAUUCCUUUACCUGAGGUAGAAUUAAAAUAUAACGUAUAUAAUAUGUGCUCACUUACUGAAAAUUGAGUAUUAUCUUUCUUCUAUGCUUUUCAGCCUUGGAACAGUAAGAACAAGUUGCAGAAAGCUUUGUGGCUGGCUUUACUUUGUUAACAGUUAAUGGAUAACAUAAAUUAGUAUGAUGAUAUUGUCAGGAUUCUUGCAGUAAGCCAAAGAUGAAAUAUGGAUUCAGGCUAUAGAUCAAAUCCAAGUUAUCCAUCCAUCUGGUUGGCAAGUUCAAGACCUGUACAAGAAAUGCAUUUGGAUUGUUUUUUGUUAAGCUGUGGGCAAGACAUCUGCCCUGAACUCCUCUAGGCAGAAGAAUGAACAAAUUGGAAAAAUACACUGACAAGGGGUGGAAAUAGAUGGAUGAGGCCAAAAGAAAUUGAGGAUUCAUCUGUCUGAGUAAUUUUUAUAGUUCCCCUUUCACAUAUAGAGAGUUAGCAUUGUGUAGCAGUUGGAGUGUUGGACUGAACCUUGCACAAUCAUUGAAACCCAGUCAUACCCAGUGUUACAACAUACAUCUACCCACAUCAUGCCAAGAAACUCUCAUCAUAUGUUUGCUUUAAGCAGACACAACUUGAAAGUACACAGCAACAGGAACCACGAGUAACACAUUUAGGAGGGCUAGUCCAAUAUAUAGUCACUGUGAAAAUUCGACUUCCUCGGUCACCCCUGAUUCUGUGUAAUGGCAAAUCUCUUCGUUCAUACAUUCAAAAUGCAGUGUUUUUGUUUCAAUGAAUGUCUACUUUUGAUUAUGCCUACUGUAUGCGGCUGACUAACUCUUAAGGUACUACAGAAAUAAAGUGCUAAUCAUUUCUGAAACACAGA